GUUGAACGCUGGCGGCAGGCUUAACACAUGCAAGUCGAGCGGAGAUGAGGUGGUUGCGCCUUAUCUUAGCGGCGGACGGGUGAGUAAUGCUUAGGAAUCUGCCUAUUAGUGGGGGACAACAUUCCGAAAGGAAUGCUAAUACCGCAUACGUCCUACGGGAGAAAGCAGGGGAUCUUCGGACCUUGCGCUAAUAGAUGAGCCUAAGUCGGAUCAGCUAGUUGGUGGGGUAAAGGCCUACCAAGGCGACGAUCUGUAGCGGGUCUGAGAGGAUGAUCCGCGACACUGGGACUGAGACAGGGCCCAGACUCCUACGGGAGGCAGAAGUGGGGAAUAUUGGACAAUGGGGGGAACCCUGAUCCAGCCAUGCCGCGUGUGUGAAGAAGGCCUUAUGGUUGUAAAGCACUUUAAGCGAGGAGGAGGCUACUGAGACUAAUACUCUUGGAUAGUGGACGUUACUCGCAGAAUAAGCACCGGCUAACUCUGUGCCAGCAGCCGCCGCUGUAA
rnacentral:rRNA from 1 species